AUUGAACGCUGGCGGCAUGCCUUACACAUGCAAGUCGGACGGUAACGGGCCUUCGGGUGCCGACGAGUGGCGAACGGGUGAGUAAUACAUCGGAACGUGCCCGAUCGUGGGGGAUAACGAGGCGAAAGCUUUGCUAAUACCGCAUACGAUCUACGGAUGAAAGCAGGGGACCGCAAGGCCUUGCGCGGACGGAGCGGCCGGUGGCAGAUUAGGUAGUUGGUGGGAUAAAAGCUUACCAAGCCGACGAUCUGUAGCUGGUCUGAGAGGAUGAUCAGCCACACUGGGACUGAGACACGGCCCAGACUCCUACGGGAGGCAGCAGUGGGGAAUUUUGGACAAUGGGCGCAAGCCUGAUCCAGCCAUGCCGCGUGCAGGAUGAAGGCCUUCGGGUUGUAAACUGCUUUUGUACGGAACGAAAAGCCUUCUUUUAAUACAGGAGGGUCAUGACGGUACCGUAAGAAUAAGCACCGGCUAACUACGUG
rnacentral:rRNA from 1 species